rnacentral:rRNA from 1 species
UGCCGGAAUGAGUAGCGAGAAUUAUGUGAGAAUCAUAAUGGCCGAAAGUCUAAGGUUUUUGGAGGAAGGUUCGUCCGCUCCAAGUAAGUCGGGAGCUAAGGUCAGGCCGAAAGGCGUAGCCGAUGCACAAACGGUUGAUAUUCCGUUACCGUCUACAAUUUAAACAAAGGGACACAUACAAAGCGUUUAACCCGGGCGAUGGUUGACCCGGGCGCAAGGGACUGAAAUAAGAGUAGGGAAGUAAAUGUGGCGUAUGGCGAGAAAAGCUUUGUGUAUAGAAGUAGACGCCCGUACCGCAAACCGACACAGGUGGACAGGAAGAGAAUUCUAAGGCCAGCGGGAGAAGGGUAGUUAAGGAACUCGGCAAAUUGACUCCGUAACUUCGGAAUAAGGAGUGCUCGAAAGAGCCGCAGAGAAUAGGCCCAGGCGACUGUUUAGCAAAAACACAGGUCUCUGCCAAAUCGAAAGAUGAAGUAUAGGGGCUGACACCUGCCCGGUGCCGGAAGGUUAAGAGGAGGAGUGCAAGCUCCGAAUUGAAGCCCCGGUAAACGGCGGCCGUAACUAUAACGGUCCUAAGGUAGCGAAAUUCCUUGUCGGGUAAGUUCCGACCCGCACGAAUGGUGUAACGAUCUGGGCACUGUCUCAACUACCCACCCGGCGAAAUUGUAGUACCGGUGAAGAUGCCGGUUACCUGCGGCAAGACGGAAAGACCCCAUGGAGCUUUACUGUAGCCUGAUAUUGGGUUUCGGAAAUCUAUGUACAGGAUAGGCGGGAGACUGGGAAGUAUGAGCGUCAGCUUAUACGGAGUCAUUGUUGGGAUACCGCCCUUAGGUUUCUGGAAUUCUAACCUGCGACCGUGAAUCCGGUCGGGGGACAUUGUCAGGUGGGCAGUUUGACUGGGGCGGUCGCCUCCGAAAAGGUAACGGAGGCGCUCAAAGGUUGGCUCAGCACGGACGGAAACCGUGCCUCAGAGUGUAAACGCAAAAGCCAGCCUAACUGCGAGGAUGACGGUCCGAGCAGUAACGAAAGUUGGAGUUAGUGAUCCGGCGGUAUGUGAAUGGAAAUGCC